ensembl:lncRNA
AAUCGCCCUGUCUCCGUGUGAGAGGUGGGAUGUUGAAGUUCAAAAUGAACAACGGAAGUGUCCAAGCAGGCACCCUUGGUAUGUGGUCUAGCAGGACUCAAACCCAGGCAAAGAUCACUCCAGUUCUUUGACAUCACACACCUCCAGGAGCAUGCAUCCGUGUAAGAUACCCUAAAGAAAAACGGUACAGGGUGUGGGGAGCUGACCUCGGAGUCCCUGUCUGCUACCAAACCAGGGUGUGACCUGCACAAUCGCAUGAGGUCUUGGCAAUGAGAAGGUCUCAUCUCACAUUCGGUUUCAGGCUCUGCUGUUGCUAUUUCGAAAUUCUUAAAGAUUUAAAGAUCGGCCCGUGUGUUUUCAUUUUGUGCUGGGCCUGCAAAUUAGGUAACCAGCUAUGCCUCCAGGGAUAAGAAGCUUCUAGGACAGUUCUGUGAGGACAGCUUAUUUCAGCGUCCCAGAGGAAACACACUGGGGGAAUUUAGACCUUAAGUAAAGGAGAAGACUUGUGAAACUGGCAAAUACAGGCAGCUCUUGUGAUGACAAAGACUUCCCCAAGGCUUCUUCUCACCAGUUAAUGGAGACUCAGUGGAUGCAAAGCUUACAACUAUGAAAACAAUACCUGUCUGACCUGGUAAACAGAUCAAUAGAACUGUAGGGCCCCCACAAGAUAUAGCUGAUUCCCAACCCCCGAAUCUGUGAAGGUGACUUUAUUUGGAAGAGAGUCUUUGAAGAUAUAAAUGAGGACCUCAAGAUGAGAUGUUCCUGGAUUUAAGCUAUACUUCAAUUGAAAAAAAAGAGAUGGAAGCAGAAAUUGGAGUGAUGCAUCUCCAAACCAAGGAACAUCAGGGACUUCGGGCAGCCACCAGAGGCUAGGAGAGAGGCAUGGAACCUGAAUCCUCCAAAAGCAGCCUGUCCACACCUCAGUUUCAGACUGCUGGUCCCCAGAACUGUGCAAGAGUCA